GUGGGGAAUAUUGGACAAUGGGCGAAAGCCUGAUCCAGCCAUGCCGCGUGUGUGAAGAAGGCCUUUUGGUUGUAAAGCACUUUAAGCGAGGAGGAGGCUACCGAGAUUAAUACUCUUGGAUAGUGGACGUUACUCGCAGAAUAAGCACCGGCUAACUCUGUGCCAGCAGCCGCGGUAAUACAGAGGGUGCAAGCGUUAAUCGGAUUUACUGGGCGUAAAGCGCGCGUAGGUGGCCAAUUAAGUCAAAUGUGAAAUCCCCGAGCUUAACUUGGGAAUUGCAUUAGAUACUGGUUGGCUAGAGUAUGGGAGAGGAUGGUAGAAUUCCAGGUGUAGCGGUGAAAUGCGUAGAGAUCUGGAGGAAUACCGAUGGCGAAGGCAGCCAUCUGGCCUAAUACUGACACUGAGGUGCGAAAGCAUGGGGAGCAAACAGGAUUAGAUACCCCAGUAGUCC
rnacentral:rRNA from 1 species